AGAGAAAGAGAAAGAGAGGGGGAGAGAGUGCAGAGCGUAACAAACAUUCCUUGUGUUUCUUCUGUCUUUUGCCCACUGAGCGCGGAGGGGAGAGACGGGCUGAUACACAGCAUCUGGUUAAAGUCAGAUGGAGGAAAACUGGAGCCAACGCAGAGGUUUCAGUUUUAGGAGAUACUUGGGAGAAAUGAGAGAGACGGAAACGCUUUGCUCUGUCACUAUCCUGUUAGCUGGGUGCCGACCGGAACAUUUGGCAUCAGGGGCGGAGGGUAGACUUUGACCAGCCCCACGCCCCUGCCAUGUGCAAAUAUGCCAAAGGGACUUCUCCAGCCAGAAGAUUCCCCUGAAUGAAGGCUGAAGAUUUCCGAAGUACUGGUCCCUCUGAAAUCUGCCUGAGGCAACUUGAACUUGGAUGAAUGGCCAUUAAACAUGCUGAUGCUGAACAAGGCUGCACAGCAUCCAAUGACUUCUCUGCUGAUUGGCCUCAUAGACGAAAUAAUCCCCAUGGACCCAAACGAUGCCAAGCAUCUUGGUAAGGUGGACGGCUCUGUCUCCAGCAACUGGACCUAUGGUUCUUCAAAAAUCAACACAAGAAGUUAUACACCUGCUUAUCCCAGCAGAAGGAUGCAGGUGGGAGGCUCUAGAGCACGCAGCUUUCAAAUCCCUGCUACUUACUAGCUGUGUGGUUUGGGCAAAUUGCAGAAACCUCUCUGUGCUCCUUCGUGUAUCACAAUGGGGACAAUAAUGACCACCUCAUGAACGAAGACGUUCGUGUCGAACACUUGAUAGCACAAUGACUCAAUAAGUGCUAGCUGUACUUCAUUCGAAUAAAAUAAAACAAUAAGCACUUAAACAAUUUAUAAAAUUCAAAGCUUUUAAGAGAGGGUAAGAUUUUUUGUAGACACAGUGGGAUGGAUUGGAAAAAGUAUUGGACUCGGAGUCUGUCUUAAUCUUAUGUCCAACAGCCAUCAGUUCUGUUACCCAAGGUAAACCUGUUAACUGCCAAGAAGUCUCAGUUUAUUUGCGUAAUGUCAAUAAUAACACACGUCCUGCCUUGCUAUAUGAUUCUGAAAAGAAAAGAGAUGAUUCAUGUGAAGUUAUCUGGCAGAAACUAAAUGCUUUGC